rnacentral:rRNA from 1 species
UACGGGGGGGGCAAGCGUUGUUCGGAAUUACUGGGCGUAAAGGGCUCGUAGGCGGCCAACUAAGUCAGACGUGAAAUCCCUCGGCUUAACCGGGGAACUGCGUCUGAUACUGGAUGGCUUGAGUUUGGGAGAGGGAUGCGGAAUUCCAGGUGUAGCGGUGAAAUGCGUAGAUAUCAGGAGGAACACCAGUGGCGAAGGCGACUACCUGGCCUGUUCUUGACGCUGAGGCGCGAAAGCUAGGGGGAGCAAACGGG